rnacentral:rRNA from 1 species
AUUGAACGCUGGCGGCAGGCUUAACACAUGCAAGUCGAGCGAGCGGCGGACGGGUGAGUAAUGUCUGGGAAACUGCCUGAUGGAGGGGGAUAACUACUGGAAACGGUAGCUAAUACCGCAUACCAUCAGAUGUUCCCAGAUGGGAUUAGCUAGUAGGGGGGGUAAUGGCUCACCUGGGCGACGAUCCCUAGCGGGUCUGAGAGGAGGACCAGCAACACUGGAACUGAGCCACGGUCAAGACUCCUACGGGAGGCAGAAGUGGGGAAUAUUGCACAAGGGGCGAAAUCCGGAUGCAGCCAUGCCGCGUGGGUGAAGAAGGCCUUCGGUUUGUAAAGCACUUUCAGCGAGGAGGCGGUACUCGCAGAAGAAGCACCGGCUAACUCCGUGCCAGCAGCCGCGGUAAUAC